GAGGACUGCAGAGUCCAUUGCCAUCAGGAAAUGUCAAUAUAAGGAUGUCCCACAUUCUUAGUGUAGACAGACCAACAAAAUUGUCAGAGCAGUGCAUGAAUAAGCAUAUACGACACAAAAGGGAAAAGAAAGAAAAAAGAGAAAUAAGCGGAGCCACCGCAUAAGUACAAAGGACCUCCUGUAAAAGAAGCAAAAGGUGGUUUCGGAAGAUGCAAGACAAGCUGGAAAAGUAAACACCAAUACUGAUCAGAAUAGGGCUCCAACCAUAAAGCUCGGAGGAAAGAGACCAUGUCCGGCGUCCAUUAACUUACUAGGCAUGUAAAAUUGCCCUAAUGAAUAUUAGAACUCAGGUAACGCAAAUUAUACAUGCAAAUUCAUCGUGUAAGUUCCAGGACAACUACUUUUCAGUUACCAAGCACAUAGCACAUGCAAGGAAGACAACCCGGAACACAGGAAGAUUGUGCAUUCCCUCUGCGAUGCAGCAAAAGCCACAACCAGAAUUUGUGACCUGAUCCUGUACAAUUCAUGUGCAAUCUCCAAAACAACAUACGCACCACAAUCAGAUCCAGAUGUUGAACGACAUACGUCAUGCAACUUCUUUGGAUUAGACAAAUAGAAAGCAUCCUCAUACUCGAGGAUAAGCACCACAUCUGGAUUUUAUGUCAUGACUGGAAGAAGGAGAGAAAUUAGUGCCACGAGUCUCAAGCCCAUAGGAUGAUUCUGAUUCCCUUACGGUUGAUGUGGUAUUGGAUGUGACACUACCAAUACAUUUCUUCGAGUCAUCAGAAGAUCUAUCUUCGGCACUUCCAUCUGAAUCACUGUCUGCCAACUCUUCAUGGUCGUGUUCGUGUGUAUCAGAAACCUGAAGACUC